CCCUGUCUUUUGUCACUGAAGGAAUAAGAACUUGUAAUCAUCUAGAAAUUUCUGAAGAGAAUGAGAAAACAGUUAUAAUCAUCAAACAGGCAAUUCAGGAAAAGUAGAAUUAAUCAGAAAAACAAUGGCUGCCGUCUGCCCCACCCAUAAACUAUUUCCUUGUUAAACUUGCAGCUUGAAGAUAGAGCCAGAAGCCUGUAGUUAGGUCAAAACAUUAACCAUAUGUUUGGAGUUCCAUGAGAGUCCAUUCUUGACACUUGCCUUGGUCUGAUGGUUGCUAUAUGUUUGUCUACAACUUUUUAUUAUCAGGUAUCCUGGCCAUUUCCUGCCCCAGGAUGAAAGAGACAAGAAGAAAGCUUUUCAUAUGAGUGAAAGAAAAAUGAGCAGAAAUGUGAAACCUACAGUUAGGCUAAAGAAAAAAACGAAGUACAGGCUGGGGGAAAAAGGGCUGCAUUACUGGAAAGAAUAUAAUACCUAGAGUGUACUGUGCACAAGUUAGACUACUUCCGGAGGAUGGCUUGCUAUGCUUGUGGACAAGUUGGCAAAUAGCAGAGUGCCCAGAAGAGGAUCACCAGAGAUGAAGGCUGAAAAUGUCAUCACAUGGAGCGUAUGGGGAACUGUGAAGUAACAAUGUUCAAGCCAAGAAGGGAAUGCUGAAGGUACACAGGUUCGAGCCCUGGUCCAUGAAGAUCCUACAUGCCGCGGAGCAACUAAGCCAGUGCGCCACAACUGCUGAGCCUGUGCUCUAGAGCCCGCGAGCCACAACUACUGAAGCCCUUGCGCCUAGAGCCCGUGCUCCGCAACAAGAGAAGCCACCGCAAUGAGAAGCCCGCGCACUGCAAGGAAGGGUAGCCCCCGCUCGCCACAACUAAAGAAAGCCUGAGCCCAGCAACAAAGACCCAACACAGCCAAAGAUAAAU